rnacentral:sRNA from 1 species
AUUUUGAUAGCAGCUUUACCCUGUGUACUGGAUUUUGCUUAGGCUUGUGUUGAAACUAUAAAUCUGCUCUACUUUAAGAAGCCUGUGUACAGGAAUCCAGAGUCUCAACAUAUACAGUUAGGAGAUUAUUAUUUGGAUAACAGAGUGCUUUUUUUUGUUAGGGCUGCUUUAAAUAAUAGGCUUUCUAAUUUCAUCUAAAAGAUGUGAUUCAAAAAAGACAAACAAAACCUUUUAGACUAGAAAAAUUAGUUCUGACUCUAGCACUCCCACUAAUUCACUAUGUCAGUUUUGUGCAGCUGUAACAGAAGAUCUGCGACUGGGUAGUUUAUAAAGAAAGAGGUUUCUUCCCCAAUUUCUGGAGGCUGGGAAAUGCAAGAUCGAGGCAAUUGCAUGUUUGGUGUCUGAUGAUGACUGCUCUGCUUCCUGGCUGGCUUCUUGAACGAAAGGCGGGAGGAAGGCUCUUGCUCAAAGCUUUCGUCCAGAAAAGCCAAAGGGCAAGCGAAGGAGGGGAGAGAGGUGCAGACUCCCUCUUUGAUAAAGAAGCUUCUCUGAGAUAAGGCAUUAUCUGUUCAUAAGAAUGGAACCCACAUGGCCUGAUCACCCGUUAAGGGUCCCACUUCUUAAUCCAGUUACCAUGGCAAUUACAUUUCAACAUCAGUUUGGGAGGGCACAGGCAUUCAAACCAUAGCAGCCCCCUUAAACAAGACACUUCACACUUCUGGGCUUCACAUUCCACUGUUUGAAACCUGGAACAGUGAAUUGUGAUCCAACUGCAUGGCUUCUGAGGUGUUUUCUGGUAUGGUGUGAGUCCCGAGAACAUUAUCCUCUAUGGUCAGAGCAUUGGGACUGUCCCCACGGUGGACUUGGCCUCGAGGUAUGAAUGCGCAGCAGUAAUUCUCCAUUCUCCUCUGAUGUCUGGUUUGCGUGUGGCUUUUCCGGAUACCAGGAAAACAUACUGCUUUGAUGCUUUCCCCAGCAUUGACAAGAUAUCUAAAGUCACCUCUCCUGUGUUGGUCAUUCACGGUACAGAGGAUGAGGUCAUCGACUUCUCCCAUGGCCUAGCGAUGUACGAGCGCUGUCCCCGAGCCGUGGAGCCCCUCUGGGUUGAAGGGGCUGGGCAUAAUGACAUAGAGCUUUAUGCACAAUACCUAGAAAGACUAAAACAGUUCAUAUCUCACGAACUUCCUAAUUCCUGAAGACAACAACUUGAUCUUACCUCAUUUACUGUGAACAGAAGAGUCCUCUGUUUUGCACAUGCUUUAACUGGGUAGCUGUAAAGGCUUGAUAACCAUGAAGAAGUGCCCAACCUUUAGGGUGUUCUAAUCAAAGAGCUGAUGAAAUCUCAGUCUUUUGUAUCUAGAGGUGGUUCUGCUAAUUCACACAACAUGUUAAACUGAACAGUCGUGAUUCCCAGCUUCAUUACCUUGCAGGAAUGGGAAUGAGAGCUGAAUGUAGGGACAAUUUUCUAGUGCUGUAUAAAGUAGCCUCGCAUCUGUUUCUCAACCUUACCCAUCAUUUCUGACAUCCAUGCAGGACUUGCCCCUGUCUCCACCAAUGUUCUCAGUAUUUGACAAGCAGCUCUCUUUCUGCCACUGGAUCCAUGGGUUCAAUCCAUUUGUGAAGCUGUGAUAGUGUAACUGGAGAGCUAGUGUGGUGAAAAUUCCUUUAUUAUUUUUUGUUAACAUGCUGAUCUUUCCCCGGACAAAUGAACUGAAGGGUGAUUUACUGGAACUAUCAUGUACAGCUUCAUCAACUGUAACCAUAUAAAUAUAACUGGAAUAUUCUUAAACAAAAAGAAACUAGGGGUUUUUUUAAGUGUAAAUUUAUUACUAGCCAACAGAGUUUUAAUAUUUUGAUUGUCUGGUUGGUUUAACAAAGAGCCUAGCCGACUUUCCUUCUGUAAAGUCCUCCUCAUAGGCUUUUUUAAAGUACUGUACAUAUUUGCAAUCACAUUGUGCAUAGAUUCUUAAUGGUAGAUAUGAUUUCUUUUGUCAGGCUACAACAAUGAACUGCAAAUUCCUUGUUUGUAAUGUAAAUGAUUGAAUACAUUUUGUUAAUAUGUUUUUAUUCCUAUGUUUUGCUAUUAAAAAUUUUAUAACAUUUCCAAGACAAAAAUUCCAAGUUUAUGCUUUGAAGAAUUUAUGUAAUUAAAAUUUCACUAAACUAAUCUUUUUAGUUUAGGAAUUAUUUGGGUUUUGACACUGGAAGUUGCGCCAAAUAAGCAUCAGAAAUAGGAGAUGCUUAACAUUGCUAUACUACUUGUAUUGGUUAGGGGUUUGGAUUUGGGGGUUCUUUGGUUUUAAUUUUUUUUUUUUUUCCAAAUUUAAAAGCCUUAAAUGUACUGUAAACCUCAGAUCGUUGUACAACUGGACUGCGGUUGAUUGCCAGUUUGUGUACUGUUGCUUGGAUGCAGCACAGUGGUUGGUAAUGGAAUAAAGGAUGCAUGGAUCAG